AUUAAAGUGGCAGAGUUGAUAAUGCAAGGAAUUUAAGCUUCCUUUAUGGCUAUAAACCCUUUAAUA
rnacentral:tRNA from 1 species